GAGGCCUGGGAGGAACCUGCCCAGCCUGGGCCUCAGGAAGCAGCAUUGGCAGUGCCUCAGCCAUGGCCUGGACCCUUCUCCUCCUCGGCCUCCUCGCUUACUGCACAGGCUCUGCGGCCUCCUAUGAUCUGACUCAGCCACCCUCGGUGUCAGUGUCCCCAGGACAGACGGCCAGGAUCACCUGUGGGGGAGACAGCAUUGGAAGUAAAGUUGUGAACUGGUACCAGCAGAAGCCAGCGCAGGCCCCUGUGCUGGUCAUCUAUAGUGAUAGUGAACGGCCCUCAGGGAUCCCUGAGCGAUUCUCUGGCUCCAACUCAGGGAACACGGCCACCCUGACCAUCAGCGGGGUCGAGGCCGGGGAUGAGGCUGACUAUUACUGUCAGGUGUGGGACAGUAGUAGUGAUCAUCCCACAGUGACACAGGCAGAUGGGGAAAUGUUUCCUCACCCUGUGCAAGGGGCUUCUUGCAGCACCUCCUUGCGAAUUCCCCUCUCUCAGCUCCUCUCCUUUCUCACCACGAAGUCCAAAAGGAAACCUGCUCUGUGGUUUCUCAUCCAGGACAAGGACAGCUUCCUGUUGCUUGUGUGUUGUGGUCCCUGA